rnacentral:rRNA from 1 species
UAGCCAGACUCCUACGGGAGGCAGCAGUGAGGAAUAUUGGGCAAUGGGCGCAAGCCUGACCCAGCAACGCCGCGUGAAGGAAGAAGGCUUUCGGGUUGUAAACUUCUUUUAAGAGGGGAGAGCAGAGGACGGUACCUCUUGAAUAAGCCACGGCUAACUACGUGCCAGCAGCCGCGGUAAUACGUAGGUGGCAAGCGUUGUCCGGAUUUACUGGGUGUAAAGGGCGUGUAGCCGGGCUGACAAGUCAGAUGUGAAAUCCCGUGGCUCAACCACGGAACUGCAUUUGAAACUGUCGGUCUUGAGUAUCGGAGAGGCAGGCGGAAUUCCUAGUGUAGCGGUGAAAUGCGUAGAUAUUAGGAGGAACACCAGUGGCGAAGGCGGUCUGCUGGACAGCAACUGACGGUGAGGCGCGAAAGCGUGGGGAGCAAACAGGAUUAGAUACCCCCGUA